rnacentral:ncRNA from 1 species
CGGACGAAACAGGGGUGUCCCGCCCGGUCAUGGAUGCAUGGCCGGCAAGGGGACUGAGAAAUACCCUGGGGCCCCGCAUCGCCACCGGCAUGCAACCGCCCCGCUACCCGAUCCAGGUCAUGCUGGCGUGGGGAGUUUCCACCAACGGCAC